rnacentral:rRNA from 1 species
UAUUAUUUAAAAUAUAAAUAAAAAUCUUAAGUAGUAGUAGUUAUGUUCUUGAAACUUAAAAAAUUUGGCGGUAUUUUAGUCUAUCCAGAGGAACCUGUUUUGUAAUCGAUAAUCCACGAUGGACCUUACUUAAAUUUGUAUUCAGUUUAUAUACCGUCGUUAUCAGAAUAUUUUAUAAGAAUAAAAAUAUUCAAUAAUUUAUAUUAAAAUUUAUAUCAGAUCAAGGUGUAGCUUAUAUUUAAGUUUUAAUGGGUUACAAUAAAUUUAUUUAAAUGAAUAAAAUUAUGAAAAAGUUUUUGAAGGUGGAUUUGGUAGUAAAAUUAUAAAGAUUAAUAAUUUGAUUUUAGCUCUAAAAUAUGUACACAUCGCCCGUCGCUCUUAUUAUUAAGGUAAGAUAAGUCGUAACAUAGUAGAUGUACUGGAAAGUGUAUCUAGAAUGA